rnacentral:rRNA from 1 species
GCUUACGGCCACACCUCCCUGACACGCCCGAUCUCGUCUGAUCUCGGAAGCUAGAGCAGGGUCGGGCCCGGUUAGUACUUGGAUGGAGACCGCCUGGGGAAUACCAGGUGCUGUAACCU